rnacentral:lncRNA from 1 species
GGAGAUCAUGCUGGUACAACUUGUACAUGUGAACUCCUAGCAUUCACAAAUAAUAAAAAACCCUCAAGCUUCACAGCUCAACUAGGGGUGCAUUUAUGCCCAACAAGAGUUAUAGUCACCAACAAAGUCAUAUUGCAAGCCAACAACUUCAAUGCAUGGCAUACGAAGAUCAAGCUAUUCAGCCCUCUUGCAUCUGCUUCAGACAUUUUACCUCUGUAACAAUGCAAACAUUACAACUCAUAGAAAGCUUCACACACUCUUGAUCAAGAUAGUGUGAAGUAAAACCAAUUUAUGGUGCCAACAAGAGCUUCAUCAAAGGAGUUCAAUCACAAUUCUCAAAAGCUGCACUCUUGAUCAAGACAGUGUGAAGCAAAACCAAUUUAUGGUGCCAACAAGAGCUUCAUCAAUGAAGGGCAUUCACAAUUCUCAAAAGCUUCACACUCUUGAUCAAGACAGUGUGGAGCAGAACCAAUUUAUGGUGCCAACAAGAACUUCAUCAAAGGAGGACAACCACAAUUCUCAAAAGCUUCACACUCUUGAUCAAGACAGUGUGAAGCAAAACCAAUUUAUGGUGACAACAAAAGUCUUAUCAAAGGAGUUCAACCACAAUUCUCAAAAGCUUUACUCUUGAUCAAGACAGUGUGAAACAAAACUAAUUUAUGGUGCCAACAAAAGCUUCAUCAAUGAAGGGCAAUUACAACUCGUAGAAAGCUUCACACUCUUGAUCAAGGCUGUUUGAAGCAAAUUCAAUUUAUAUAGUUCAUCCAAACCUUCGACUACUACAAGGUGUGGUUUGCAUCACAAUCUCUUGCUCAACAGUGUGGAAGCAAAUUUUGUAUAUGUUGUCUCUCUCACAUUUUCAAAUUUCUAAUUUUUCAAAAAAAAAAAAAAAAAUGGGAAAUUCAACAAAUUUCUAGUUUUCCCAAAAAAAGAAAAGGAAAUUGGGAAAUUCAACAAAGUUUCACCACAAAAUCUUCAUCAAUGGAGGACAACUACAAAUUCUGAAAAGCUUCACACCAUCUUGAUCAAGAUAGUGUGAACCAAAAUCAAUUCAUGGUACCCAACAAAGCUUCACCACAAAAGUUUCACCAACAAAAGCUUCAUCAAUAAAGGACAACUACAAAUUCUCAAAACCUUCACACUAUCUUGAUCAAGACAGUGUUAAGCAAAAUCAAUUUAAGGUACCCAACAAAAGCUUCAACUUCAAAUCUUCACCUACAAAGCUUCACCUACAAAAACUUCAACACAAAAACUUCACCUACAAAAGCUUCACUUACGAAAACUUAGCCCACAAAAGCUUGACUCACAAAAGCUUGACCUACAAAAGCUUGACCUACAAAAGCUUGACCCACAAAAGCUUCAGCAACAAAAGCUUGACCCACAAAAGCUUGACCCACAAAAGCUUCAGCAACAAAAGCUUGACCUACAAAAGUUUGACCUACCAAAGAUUCACCCACAAAAGCUUGACCUACAAAAGCUUCACCCACAAAAACCUCACUUACAAAGUUUCAACACAAAAGCUUCACCUACAAAAGCUUCACACGAUCUUGAUCAAGAUAGUGUGAAACAAAAUCAAUUCAUGGUGUCCAACAAAGCUUCAACCUCAAAGCUUCACCUACAAAACUUCACCUAUAAAGCUUAAAAUAUAUAUAUAUCGGAAAUUUGAAAAUUUGAAAAUUCAAAAAUUUGAAAAAAAAAAAAUUCAAAAAAAAAAAAAUGUCUAGGCCUCCUCUUCUUUAGGCUUAACAACUUUCAUAACAAAUAUAUAUGAAGGAGGAGUUUUGGGCUACCACUUAGAAAGGAAUUGCCUCGUUAGGCAACUCCCUUGACCGGAGACUUGAGGGACUCCUACCAUAUGCUACUGCACCUUGAUACUCAUAAGUCUCACGACCACUCAGUGACUUGAAUUUUUCAAGUCUCCAACCGAAAAGUUUUCCUUACUCGGGAAAUUAAGCAAGCACUAUCUCAACAUACAUGCUUCACUCUCAAACCUUCAACAUAUAAGCUUUAACAAAAGAAAAAAUUCAAAGAACUUAAUGAAGAAGACCUUGGUGUAUUUAACACAAUACGUUGAAAUGAAGCAAAGCUUGUUUAUUGAUAUCUCCGAUAAGUUACAAAUAUGUACAUAUAUAUGAAUCAAAAUAAACAAACAAGAGAGAGCAUUCACAAAGGUUGCUCUUGAGAAGUCUCAGCAAUCGGCAGAGUCCCAGAAAGAGUAGGCACCAGAGGGUGAUCAUUCAGAGCCUCAGUAUUGGGUAGAACCCCAAAAAGAGGAGGCAUCGAAGGUUGAUCAUUUGAAGCUUCAUUACGCGGUACAGCCCCAAAAGACGAAGACAAUAAAUGCCUUUGGAACAAACCCACUAACCUCUGAUGAUCAAGUAAACUCUGACCAUCAGACUCCUGCAGCUGGUUAAGCUUCCUCUUCAUGUUUGUAGCAUAGUCAUGUGCAAGCCUGUGCAACUGUUUAUUCUUAUGCUUGAGCCUUCUGAUCUUCUGUUUGAGACUUAUCACUUUAGCCGCCAAUGAUUCAAUUUGUCUGGUUCGAGCAAAUAGGCGUUGGGCCAUAUUAGACACAUAACUUGCACACUGAACACUGAGAGCUAGAGAAUCCUUAACAACCAACUCAUCAGACCGUUUGGAAAGUAGUCUGUUAUCUUUAGGAGUGAGAAGGUUCUUGGCCACCACCGCAGCGUUCGUAUCAUUCUUCAUCAUAGAGUCCCUAACGGUAAGAUGACCAAUAUGGGAUAAGAAGGAUGGGCGCCAUAUGUUGUCUUGAGAAGGCAUGGCUGCCUCUUCACCAAAGUUCAAGUCAAAACGACGAUUGGAUAGGCCAGACAUUCUCAGAAAUGAUGAAGAGAAAUGAGGUGCAAUAAAUCUUUUAAGUACAAGAAUAAGGGGAAAAUUCCUACAAACAAUAACUCUCUGAAUGUACUUCUUGCACACAAUUGGUGCCCUUAUAAAAGAAAGGGUAACAGGGUCGUUAGUUCAAAAAUCGAAGAGGCACCACUCUUCGAAUUUUGAAUAGGCACCACUCUCCACACGCAACAUCAGUUCCUCGGGUACCACAGAUAACUUUGCAAAAGAUCUUUGACAAUGUUUAGACACAUAAAUUUUGAAGGUCCAGCUACCCUACUAUUACCCACAAAGGUAAAGGAACAACACCACUUUUUGAUAACUAGAAAGUUCCUAUGUAUGUCAACCUCCGUGCUCUGUGGCAAGGCAGACUGGCAAAAAUGCCCAACCUUUACUCACAUUCGAGAAAACACUCCUAACAAGAUUGCUUGCUCAAAAAUCGAAGAGGCACCGCUCUCCGAAUCUCGAGAGUCAGACUCCCAACAUAAUUACGUGCUCAAAAAUCGAAGAGGCACCACCCUCCGAAUCUUGAGAGCCAGACUUCCAACAGGAUUACUUUCUCAAAAAUCGAAGAGACAUUGCUUUUCGAAUCUCAAGAGUCAGACUCCCAACAUGAUUGCUUUCUCAAAAAUCGAAAUGACACCGUUUUCUGAAUCUCGAGAGCCAGAUCCCCGACAAGAUUGCUUGUUCGAAAACCGAAGAGGCAACGCUUUCCGAACUUCGAGAGCUAGAUUUCCUUGGAUAAAGCUUAUUUGCAAUUUUCACAUGCAAAUCAGCUUUCCAGAUACCACAGACCAUUUUUUCAAAGUGCUCUGACAAAGUUAAAACACGUGAAGUUUGCAGCUCCCACUACAUUGCUAUGACCAAGAAGGGUAAAGGAAUAGCACUACUACUUGUUAGGGAGACUCCUAUAUAUGUCGACCUCUAUCAUCCACAGCCAGGCAACCUACAAAUAAAAAAAAAUGCUCAACUUUUCUUUACAUCCGAAAGAGCACUCUCAGCAGAGUCUCUCGAGAUACUCAGCUUCUUUUGCCCCCGAUAAUACCUUUGCAAACAAGCCACACAAGAGCAAGAGUAUCACAUAUCAUUAGGGUUAAAAGCAAGAGUAUCCCAUAUCAUGCUUUUUCCCUGUCUUUUCCUUUGGCCUUGUUCUUACCUGCAAGACAAGGAGAAAGAGAACAAUUAGUCAGCACUUGGAAUCAAGCUUCCAAUCAGGAACUGAUUGCCUAGAACCCCUUGAUUGAUCACUUAUCUGACAUUGCUUUCGAGUACUCAUCUUCAACAUCUUAUGCUUCUAGAGAAGAUACCACAUCUGCCUGAGGAAUAGAUAGGGCAAGUGAGAAGGAUACAAGGAAGCAUGUGGAGACAAGAGUAACAGAACACGUGCCGAUACAUCCAUUACUUUGUCAAUAGCAAAAGUAUCUCAUAUCAUCAAUGUCGAACGUAUUCUAGAUUUGAUGGACUUAUUUUGACCCUCAAAUUCUUGAGUUGGUCUUAUACUCUGGAGGAAACCAGAAAACCCUCUAGCCUAGUUCAAGAAUAAGCCUGUGAAAAGUUACUUCUUCAAAAGAAAAGAUAUCUCAUAUCAUCUCUUCUUCAUUUGCUUCUCCUUAUCCUUGUUGCUGUUUACGACACAAGAAGGAGAAUAAUCAACUGGAAGCCGAAGUCGAACCUCCGAUCCAGGUUGCUUGCUAGUAGUCUGAUUGCUUACCUUGUCUGUAACCUUUCGUCAAAUCUCCUAGCUCGGUGACUUGGGGGACUCCUAUUACAUGGUUUGUAUCGCGCUUGACCAAGCCUGAAAUUACAAGAAAGCUUCAAGUCAAAUUGAUACAUUACCUUGUGCAUCUCCACUUCGGUACUUAGAAGUUUUGUGAUUACUCAACGGCUUGGAUCUUGCAAGUCCCCAACCGAGGAGCUUCCCUCACUCGGUAACUUAGAGGAGGACUGUUUGUACUAUAUUUGACCAAUCCCGAAACUACUGAGCACUGGUCAACGUUAUACCGUCAAGAAUCCAGAAGAGUUUCCCUCCAACCAGAAGGUCAAUCACAGCGCGACACGUGUCGACAUCAGAAGCCAAUCAUAGCGUGACACGUGUCAACAUCAGAAGUCAAUCACAACACGACACGUGUCAAUGUCAAAAUGAAACUAGAAACUCUCUUCUAUAAAUAGAGAUCAUUCUCUCACAAUAUUUCUUAAUGUCAGUUAUACUAAAUCAUUCACUAGUACUCACUAAAGAAGAGCUUGAACCUAUGUACUUGUGUAAACCUUUCACAUUUAAUGAGAACUCUUCUACUCCAUGGACGUAGCCAAUCUGGGUGAACCACCUAUAUCUUGUGUUUGCUUCCUUGUCCCUAUCCAUUUACUUACUUAUCCACACUAUAACCGGAGCAAUCUAGCGAAGGUCACAACCUUAACACCUUCUGUUGUACCAAAGUCCUCGCUGAUUUUGUGCAUCAACACAUAGUAUUAAAUAUCAGUAAUAUUAUAUAUUAGGGCUUAGGUCAGCCCCUGUAUGUUUUUAUUACUCGACUGCAUAGAUAUCUAAUACCAUGCAUGUAGUAUUAUAUAUUUGCAUGUGUACAUGCAUAGAAUAGAUAGCAGUAAUAUUCAUCCAGGGAUGGGUUACCAUGCAUAGUAUUCGUUAUCAAUAAUACUACGCAAAGCAUUAGAUAUCAAUAAUACUAUGUAUAGUAUAUUGAUAUCUAGUACUAUGCAUGUAUAUACAUCCAGCGGGAAGAGAAGACUUUUUUCAUCCUCCUGGAUAUUUUAUUGGAGAAAUACAACAAAACAGGUGGAAUUGGCGUAGGAUAGAGAAACCUUAAUGGAUAGUGUCAUUCACAUACCCAUUUUUACCUCCCACAUAUCCUUGUUAAUUUUUAGCCAUUGAUCUUCUUCAAUUUAUUUGAUCCGAUGACCGAAAAAUGAAAGGGGUGUGUGCAGUGGCGGAUCCAGGAAAUAAUGUUUGGGGGGUCAUUAAGGAUAGCGCGCGCAGCGCGAAAUUUUUUUUUAACAGAAACGGCAUGCAUAUCGUCAUUUCAUCAGGUCUUGGUAGGAUAGCGCGACCAGCUACUCCAAAAUCCUUGUUCAAAAUCCUACAUUCCAGCUCUACAUCUGCAAAGAACAAUGAAAAAAUAAAAUAAAAAGUAGAGCCUUUCGGUUCCACUAGCAAAGGCACAAAAAUAAGGCUCUGUGCAAAAUAAGGUCGAAAGGACACGCUUGGUAUUUUUGUUUUUGUUCAGACCUGCCCAGGACACGCUGGGCAUUCUUUUUUUGUUUUAACCUGGGCCAAAACGACGUCGUUUUGCCCAGGUUUUUUUUAAAAACAAACUGGCGCCACAGCGCCUUCGUCUUCUUCAUCCAACCUGCCCAGACCAACGAACUUUCGUCGAACAGUUGGUGUGCAGCGAACGGGGUCGCACCAGGGGUCGCACCACCAGUCCAAGGGGUCUCUAAGGUUGCUUCCAUGGCUUCCAAGGGGUCGCGCGACCCCAAUGACCCCACUGUGGAUCCGCCACUGGGUGUGUGAGAAGUGAAAAUGGGUUUGUGGAUAACACUACCCAACCUUAAUAUAUGACCUGUUAUUGAUAUGUAUGAUAUUACUGAAUAAUCUAAUUUCUACGAAAGAGGCUUGCUCUCCAAUGUUAAGUGCUUUUCUUUGCAGUCUUUAAAUGCCCAAUCUAGAGCACUGCUAAUGCAGAAGCUGGAUCGCACUGGUAUUGCCACAAGGUGUGCAACCAUUUUUCCUCACUGCUUUCUGGUAGUUAUGUCGUUUUCCUAUGUCUGAUUGUCUCUCUUUUGGUAGUAUUGUGGGUUCUCUUGGAGUUCAUGCGCUGAAUGGGGCAGCUCCUAAUCAACUAGCUGUUGCAUUGCCAAUCAAUGGUCAAGCUGCAGUCUCUGCUCCUAUUCUUCCACCAGCAGUUGCAGUCAAUGAACCUGUUGGUAACCCCAGCGAAUGUCUACUACUGAAGAAUAUGUUCGAUCCAGCCACUGAGGUGUGUGUUCUUUGCAAAAAUUGUUUUCACUCGCCUCCCCAAAUACUUUUUAGUCCUAAAAUUCAGUAUUAUGUUUGCAGAGGGAGCCAGAUUUUGAUAUAGACAUUAAAGAGGAUGUUGAAGAAGAAUGUUCGAAAUAUGGCCAUGUGAAGCAUAUUUAUGUGGACAAGUAAGUGCUUAAAUAUGAAUACUAAGUAUGCAAUUAUAAUAUGAAUGUCUUGUUUGUGUAAUAUUAUUGCAAGAUGUCGUUGAUAUUUAUGAAAUACUGGGUGGGCACUUUUUGUGUUAACCAGUCUCACCUUAUAGGGUGGAGGAAAUUGGAAAAUAGAACUCCCAAGGGGAGAUUAAACUAAGUCACCCCAACCCAAUUCAACAAGGGUUGGGUGUUCAGUUUCUUGGGUUGUGAUUGAUUAUAGAGGCAUCGAAAUCGAAAGGAACCCAUUGCAAAACCAUAUGAAAUAGAGAAAAAAAAACAGUAGAUUUCUCUAUUUGAAAAUAUGUAGUUUUUAGUAGAUGCCUCUAUUCUCAUUUCUCAAAACCCUUGUAACAUUAAGAACUAAUAUAAUUUUUGUUACAUUGAAUAUUGUUCAAGAAAAUAAAUAGGGGUCACACACCUUCUUAAUUUUUGGCCGUUGGAUCGAAUGAAUUGAAGAAGAUUAACAACAACAAAGCAUUUUCUCACUAAGUGGGGUUAGCUGUAUGAAUCCUAGAAAAUCAUUGCGCUCGGUUCUGUGCCACGUCAGAACAUAUCCAAGUACUUUUAAGUCUUUUCUUAGAGUUUCUUCCAAAAUUUUCCUAGGUCUUCCUUCACCCCUUUGGCCCUGAACUUCUGUACUGUAAUCGCAGUAGGCCUUCGUUUCACAUGUCCAAACCAUUGUAACCGAUUUUCUCUCACCUUUCCUUCAAUUUUGGCUACUCCUAUUUGACCUCGGAUAUCCUCAUCCCUAAUCUUAUCUUUUCUUGUGUGUCCACACAUUCAACGAAGCAUUCUCAUAUCUGUUACACUAAUUUUAUGUACGUGUUGAUGCUUCACUGUCCAACACUCUGAGCCAUAAAGCAUUGUUGGCCUUAUUGCCAUCCAUCUUCAAUGGCAUAUGACGGUCACACAACAUGUCGGAUGCACUCUUCCACUUCUUCCAUCCAGCUUGUAUUCUAUGGUUGAGGUCUCCAUCCAACUCUUCGUUCUUUUGCAAGAUAGAUCUUAGGUAGCGAAAUCGGUCGCUCUUUGGUACUUCAUGAUCUCCAAUCCUCACCCCUAACUCAUUUGAGCCUUCGUUUGCACUGAACUUGCACUUCGUAUACUCUAUCUUUGACCAACUUAGGCAAAGACCUUUAAAUUCCAACACUUCUCUCCAAUGGUUAAGCUUCACAUUUACUCCUUCCUAGUUUCAUCUAUCAAUACUAUAUCGUCUGCAAAAAGCAUACACCAAGGAAUAUCAUCUUGAAUGUCUCGUUAACUCAUCCAUUACCUAUGCAAAAAGGUAAGGACUUAAAGAUGAGCCUUGAUGUAACCCUACAGUUAUGGGGAAGCUUUGAGUUUGUCCUUCAUGUGUUCUUAUGGCAGUCCUUACUUCAUCAUACAUAUCCUUUAUAGCUUGGAUAUAUGCUACUUGUACUCCUUUCUUCUCUAAAAUCCUUCAAAGAAUGUCUUUUGGGACCUUAUCAUACACUUUUUCCAAAUCUAUAAAGACUAUGUACAAAAAGGGUGUGUGGAUAUCACACCCCAAUAAAUAAUGUCACGUUGAAUGAUGAAAUAUUUUUGUCAAAUCCUGGUUAAGAAACAAAGGGUUUUUUUUUUUUUUUUUUUUUUUAUAAUUUAAUUUUUUUAUAAAAUCCUCUGUAUUUUCAAUUUUAUUUUGUUUGAUAAUGUGAAAAGAUACUAAAGAGUACAAAAGCAGUUCUUUCCCACUUGUUUCUGCAUACGUGUGUUGCGUUUGAUAUUUGAGAAAGCAGGUGAAUUUCAAAACUGAAUUGGUCUUUUUUCUCCUAAUUUGCUUUGCUUGAUACAGAAACAGUGCUGGUUUCGUGUAUUUGUGGUUUGAAACUGUGGAAGCAGCAGCCGGAGCUCAACGUGCAAUGCAUUGGAGAUGGUUUGCAGGAAGGCUGAUUUCAGCCCUGUUCAUGGUAACAUGUCUUUAACUUUCUGUUGUCAAGUAUGUUUUUGCUAAUUCCUGUGUGGAUCUUAAAAAAAUAGAUGCAAGGGCUCGUUUGGUGCAUAGGAUUGGAUUGAAAUGGAUAACUCUCAAACGUUAAGGCAUGUUAUGGGGAGAAAUGAAGAAAUUAUGACCCACUAGGAUUGAGUUUUCUUCAUGUCUAAUCCUCUUCUAAUCCCCUAUAAAUGAAUAAUCUACCUUCAAUUUGCCUUGAAAUUGGAGAAUUAUCUAUUCCAAUCCAAUUCUACUCACCAAACGAAGGCCUUAGUUUUCUUGUUAUGAACUUACGAGUGCACAUAUAAUUUAUGAUGUCAAGUAUUAUUGUUGGACAUUUUUGGUAUAGCACGUGGAAACUUUUCUGACAAUAAGUUUGAGUCGACUUUGUUUCUUCAUCAAAACUGAGCAUGUAGUAGUGUAGAUGUUGUCUAGGACUCCAUGGUUGUGUUAACUGUAGAGUUGAUUUCUCGUUGCCGCACCCUUUUCUUUUGGUUCAUUUUCAUGAAUAAUCUUGUUGCUCAUCGUCUUUCGGUGUCUUGUGCAGCAACCUCAAGUUUACGAGGCCAAGUUUGGAGCUUAAACCGCUGCUCAGAUGCGGGAGUGGAAAAGUCUCUGCGGACAUGCAUUGAGUGUUUUUAGUUGAAGGAUGGUUACUUGUUUUUGUUUAGGAUACCGAACUUUCUAGUUUUGAUCAUACACAUGUAAUGAUUAUAUGGUAUGCACGACAUGUGGAAAAUGUGCCCUGUUUUUUUUAUACUAAGCUAGAUGUGUGAGAAAUAUAAUUUUAUUUUUAUUCUUCUCAAAUAUUGUUUUUAAAUUUUUUUUUUGGUAGGAGUUAUGCACAGGAAAAAAUAAGUACUGGCAGUAAUGGAGAGAGAAGGUGAAACAGCGAGUGAGUUCAAAGGGUAGUGAUAGGGUGACAUGGUUUAGAAAAAAAAAAACAGUAAAAAGUUGUUUGCUUGAAAUUACCUUAAUAUCCUCAUUUUUUUCCUCACAUUUUCUUUUAGUUAUGUAUUUAAAGGGUAUAAUUGUAAUUUCACUGAUUUCUAAUUGACAAAGUGAGUAUUAUUAAGGGCUUUUAUCACAAAUGGUCUCUGAAAUUGACCCUUACCAUUAAGAUGGUUCUUGAAAUUGAAAAUCAAUCAAUGUAGUCCCUGAAUAUAGGUGUUGCAAAUCAAUGUGGUCAUUUCGUUAUAAUUCUGUUAAAAUUUUUGUUAGGUGUUGGUAUGGCACAUAAACGGGUCUUAUAAGUCAUUUUUUUCCUCACAAAUGGUCUCUAAAAUUGAUUCGCGACAUCAAAAUGAUUCUUGAAAUUGACUUGUGACAUCAAAAUGGUCCCUGAAAUUGAAAAUUGAGUGCUCAAAAUCAAUGUACUCAUUCCGUCAUAAUUCUGUAAAAAUUUCUAUUAUGUGCACACAAAAAUGGGUCACACAAGUCUAAUUAAAUAAAAAAAUUACAAAUAGGUUUAAUAACUUAAUAAUUAAUAAAACGAUGUUAAUCCAAAAACCUAGUCCUGCAAUCACCUCCGAUCCCAAUCCACAUUCCUCUAUCUCAUUCGUUGUCUAUUCUCUACAAAAAAAAAAAAAUCUCAAUACAUCCCAUCUUUACACACUUCGACACCCUUCAUUGAAUUGAACUUGGAUCGAGAUCACCUUUGGUGACGACUUGGCCAAUUGACAACGACUUCUAGGACAUCACCGUUAAUAUUUAGGCAAACAACAUCCUCACAACCUUAAUCUUGGAGAGCUUGUUCGGCAGGGGCUUCCCUAAUGGUCUGAUGACUCAAAGAACGACGAGGUUUGCCUUGAGAUAAUGAGGUUAUAAUUGAGGUAUGUCUAUUGUUGGUUGAAAACUAUUUCCAAACCCACCUCUUAGGCCUUGGUUAAGCCUUGUGCCUUUGAGAAUUUAUGGAAUGGAUCUCUCUUCGAAGUAGGCCAUCCUAUAAGAAAAAAAGUUCCAUUGCGCAAAAACGUAUUUAGACAACUUUUUUUAUUAAUUAUGAAACUCACAUCAUCACAUAACAAUUAUUUUUUUUUACAGAAUUGUGGUGGAAGGAUCAUAAUGAUUUGCGACACCUAUUUUUGAGGAUUACAUUCAUCGAUUUUCAAUUUUAGGGAUCAUCUUGAUGUGUGGGUCAAUUUCAGAGAUUAUUUCUGUUAAUGAGAACUCUUCUACUCCGUGGACGUAGCCAAUCUGGGUGAACCACGUACAUCUUGUGUUUGCUUCCCUGUCCCUAUCCAUUCAUAUACUUAUCCACACUAGUGACCGGAGCAAUCUAGCGAAGGUCACAAACUUAACAUUUUCUGUUGUACCAAAGUCCUCACUGAUUGUGUGCAUCAACAUUUGGCGCCGUCUGUGGGAACGACACUUAUUCCCACUCUCUUCAGCUUUGUCAAGCUGGUUUCCACCGUUCAUACACUCUCUUUUGACCAGGCAUCCCUCUCCAACAUGGGGAGCGAAGGAAGCCACAGCACACAGAAUGACACCCCUCUUGCAUGUAGUGCGAAGCAACGAAAGAAGGAAGGAAAUAGGGUUGCUCUUCAAGCUAAAGUCGAUGAACUAGAAGCUCAAAACAACAAGAUAGCAAUGAAACUAUGAGAAGCUCUUUGAGACACUCCAUGAAACUAUGCGUACUCAAACAGGCGAGCUUGUUGCCCCUGUGGACAUCAACCAUUAUCUGGGUGCCCCCCAACACGGAGGGUCACCUUCUUUCGACAUGGGUAUCCUUGAUGAGGAGCGAGCUAAUCAUCAAAACAUUGAUUAACAUGAGACUUUUCUCAACCCAGCUGCUUCGACGCGAAGCAGGAGAAGUGGAGGAAGACACCUCAUUGCAAAAGGGUUGGAAGGAUCGAAAGCCGUUUAUCGUGACUACCGAGACUUCCUAAAGCAACGUCGAGAGAAUCCCCUCCACAUAUGCUCGAAGAUCAAUGACCCAAGGGUUUCUGAAAAACUCGGUCCCCUCCCACGACCCAGGUCAGCUGCCAAUCUAAGAAAGGAACGACAUGUCCUAGAGGAACAUGAAGGUACAGGGGACUUUGAGGUAUUCCAACAGACUCGCCCUAGAAGUCAAUACGGCGAAUCCAAGGAAAAAUCACACACCCUUGGUCAAACUAUCCUACUUCCAAGAGGCGAUGAAGACUUACGAAAGAAAAUCCCAGUGGUACAUGACUCCACUCAAGUGUUGGAAAUGUGCCCUAAAACCAAUCAUAUGAUGAUACUUUGCGGACAUUUCACAUGUUAAACUAAUCUAGUUUAAUAUCAAGGGCAAAGAUUAUUGUUUAAGCCGUCUCAUAUAAAUGUUAUAUGCUUAAACGAUAAGUCCAAGGAAUAUGUAAUUAGAAGAAGGAACUCACCAUUCAUUCCACCUACCAGAAGACAAGUGGUACAACUUGUACAUGUGAACUCCUAGCAUUCACAAAUAAUCAAAAACCCUCAAGCUUGACAACUCAACUAGGGGAGCACUUAUACCCAACAAGAGUUAUAGUCACCAAUAAAGUCUUAUUGCAAGCCAACAACAACUUCAGUGCAUGGCUUACGAAGAUCAAGCUAUUCAGCUCUCUUGCAUCUGCUUCAAACAUUUCCCCUCUGUAACAAUGCAAACACUACAACUCGUAGAAAGCUUCACACACUCUUGAUCAAGACAGUGUGAAGCAAAACCAAUUUAUGGUGCCAACAAGAGCUUCAUCAAUGGAGGGCAACCACAAUUCUUAAAAGCUUCACACACUCUUGAUCAAGAUAGUGUGAAGCAAAACCAAUUUAUGGUGCCAACAUGAGCUUCAUCAAAGGAGUUCAACCACAAUUCUCAAAAGCUUCACACACUCUUGAUUAAGACAGUGUGAAGCAAAACCAAUUUAUGGUGCCAACAAGAGCUUCAUCAAUAGAGCGCAACCACAAUUCUCAAAAGCUUCACACACUCUUGAUCAAGACAGUGUGAAGCAAAACCAAUUUAUGGUGCCAACAAGAACUUCACCAAUGGAGGGCAAC